rnacentral:rRNA from 1 species
GGGUUGUGAGGUUAAGCGACUAAGCGUACACGGUGGAUGCCCAGGCAGUCAGAGGCGAUGAAGGACGUGCUAAUCUGCGUAAAGCGACGGUAAGGUGAUAUGAACCGCUACAGCCGUCGAUGUCCGAAUGGGGAAACCCGGUGCACUCUGUGCAUCAUUGCAGCAUGAAUACAUAGUGCUGCAAGGCGAACCGGGGGAACUGAAACAUCUAAGUACCCCGAGGAAAAGAAAUCAACCGAGAUUCCCCCAGUAGCGGCGAGCGAACGGGGAGCAGCCCAGAGCCUGAAUCAGCUUGUGUGUUAGUGGAAGCGUCUGGAAAGUCGCAGGGUACAGGGUGAUACUCCCGUACACAAAAACACACAUGCUGUGAGCUCGAUGAGUAAGGCGGGACACGUGGUAUCCUGUCUGAAUAUGGGGGGACCAUCCUCCAAGGCUAAAUACUCCUGACUGACCGAUAGUGAACCAGUACCGUGAGGGAAAGGCGAAAAGAACCCCGGCGAGGGGAGUGAAACAGAACCUGAAACCGUGUACGUACAAGCAGUGGGAGCCUUCUUUAUGGGGGUGACUGCGUACCUUUUGUAUAAUGGGUCAGCGACUUAUAUUCUGUAGCAAGGUUAACCGUAUAGGGGAGCCGCAGGGAAACCGAGUCUUAACUGGGCGUUAAGUUGCAGGGUAUAGACCCGAAACCCGGUGAUCUAGCCAUGGGCAGGUUGAAGGUUGGGUAACACUAACUGGAGGACCGAACCGACUAAUGUUGAAAAAUUAGCGGAUGACCUGUGGCUGGGGGUGAAAGGCCAAUCAAACCGGGAGAUAGCUGGUUCUCCCCGAAAGCUAUUUAGGUAGCGCCUCGUGAACUCAUCUUCGGGGGUAGAGCACUGUUUCGGCUAGGGGGCCAUCCCGGCUUACCAACCCGAUGCAAACUGCGAAUACCGAAGAAUGUUAUCACGGGAGACACACGGCGGGUGCUAACGUCCGUCGUGAAGAGGGAAACAACCCAGACCGCCAGCUAAGGUCCCAAAGUCAUGGUUAAGUGGGAAACGAUGUGGGAAGGCACAGACAGCCAGGAUGUUGGCUUAGAAGCAGCCAUCAUUUAAAGAAAGCGUAAUAGCUCACUGGUCGAGUCGGCCUGCGCGGAAGAUGUAACGGGGCUAAACCAUGCACCGAAGCUGCGGCAGCGACACUAUGUGUUGUUGGGUAGGGGAGCGUUCUGUAAGCCGUCGAAGGUGUGCUGUGAGGCAUGCUGGAGGUAUCAGAAGUGCGAAUGCUGACAUAAGUAACGAUAAAGCGGGUGAAAAGCCCGCUCGCCGGAAGACCAAGGGUUCCUGUUCAACGUUAAUCGGAGCAGGGUGAGUCGACCCCUAAGGCGAGGCCGAAAGGCGUAGUCGAUGGGAAACAGGUUAAUAUUCCUGUACUCGGUGUUACUGCGAAGGGGGGACGGAGAAGGCUAUAUCAGCCGGGCGACGGUUGUCCCGGUUUAAGCGUGUAGGCGGAGGGUCCAGGUAAAUCCGGUCCCUUAUUAACGCUGAGGCGUGACGACGAGGCACUACGGUGCUGAAGUGAUAAAUGCCCAGCUUCCAGGAAAAGCCUCUAAGCAUCAGGUAACACAGAAUCGUACCCCAAACCGACACAGGUGGUCAGGUAGAGAAUACCAAGGCGCUUGAGAGAACUCGGGUGAAGGAACUAGGCAAAAUGGUGCCGUAACUUCGGGAGAAGGCACGCUGGCGCGUAGGUGGAGGGACUUGCUCCCCGAGCCGAAGCCAGUCGAAGAUACCAGCUGGCUGCAACUGUUUAUUAAAAACACAGCACUGUGCAAACACGAAAGUGGACGUAUACGGUGUGACGCCUGCCCGGUGCCGGAAGGUUAAUUGAUGGGGUUAUCCGCAAGGAGAAGCUCUUGAUCGAAGCCCCGGUAAACGGCGGCCGUAACUAUAACGGUCCUAAGGUAGCGAAAUUCCUUGUCGGGUAAGUUCCGACCUGCACGAAUGGCGUAAUGAUGGCCAGGCUGUCUCCACCCGAGACUCAGUGAAAUUGAACUCGCUGUGAAGAUGCAGUGUACCCGCGGCAAGACGGAAAGACCCCGUGAACCUUUACUACAGCUUGACACUGAACAUUGAGCCUUGAUGUGUAGGAUAGGUGGGAGGCUUUGAAGCGCGGACGCCAGUCUGCGUGGAGCCAACCUUGAAAUACCACCCUUUAAUGUUUGAUGUUCUAACGUAGGCCCGUGAUCCGGGCUGCGGACAGUGUCUGGUGGGUAGUUUGACUGGGGCGGUCUCCUCCUAAAGAGUAACGGAGGAGCACGAAGGUCAGCUAAUCACGGUCGGACAUCGUGAGGUUAGUGCAAUGGCAUAAGCUGGCUUGACUGCGAGAGUGACGGCUCGAGCAGGUGCGAAAGCAGGUCAUAGUGAUCCGGUGGUUCUGAAUGGAAGGGCCAUCGCUCAACGGAUAAAAGGUACUCCGGGGAUAACAGGCUGAUACCGCCCAAGAGUUCAUAUCGACGGCGGUGUUUGGCACCUCGAUGUCGGCUCAUCACAUCCUGGGGCUGAAGUAGGUCCCAAGGGUACGGCUGUUCGCCGUUUAAAGUGGUACGCGAGCUGGGUUUAGAACGUCGUGAGACAGUUCGGUCCCUAUCUGCCGUGGGCGCUGGAGAAUUGAGGGGGGUUGCUCCUAGUACGAGAGGACCGGAGUGAACGCACCACUGGUGUUCGGGUUGUCAUGCCAAUGGCAUUGCCCGGUAGCUAAGUGCGGAAAAGAUAAGUGCUGAAAGCAUCUAAGCACGAAACUUGCCCCGAGAUGAGUUCUCCCUGACUCCUUGAGAGUCCUGAAGGGACGUUGAAGACUACGACGUUGAUAGGCCGGGUGUGUAAGCGCAGCGAUGCGUUGAGCUAACCGGUACUAAUGACCCGUGAGGCUUAACCUUACAACGCCAGAGGCGUUU